rnacentral:rRNA from 1 species
CCUACGAGGGGCAGCAGUGAGGAAUAUUGGUCAAUGGGCGCGAGCCUGAACCAGCCAAGUAGCGUGAAGGAUGACUGCCCUACGGGUUGUAAACUUCUUUUAUAAAGGAAUAAAGUGAGGCACGUGUGCCUUUUUGCAUGUACUUUAUGAAUAAGGAUCGGCUAACUCCGUGCCAGCAGCCGCGGUAAUACGGAGGAUCCGAGCGUUAUCCGGAUUUAUUGGGUUUAAAGGGAGCGUAGGUGGGUUGUUAAGUCAGUUGUGAAAGUUUGCGGCUCAACCGUAAAAUUGCAGCUGAAACUGGCAGUCGUGAGUACGUGAGAGGUGGGCGGAAUUCGUGGUGUAGCGGUGAAAUGCUUAGAUAUAACGAAGAACUCCGAUUGCGAAGGCAGUUCACUGGACUGCAACUGACACUGAGGCUCGAAAGUGUGGGUAUCGAACAGGAUUAGAUACCCCUGUAGUC